UUCGUUCCGAGCGCUCCCGCUGCGAUCACGGCGUUACGCUCGUCCGUCGUCAUCCCAGCGGGUCGCUCGCGAAUGCGCAUCGGGCGCGGGGCUUCACAGCGAACACUCACCUUUGGCAAAGCCGAGGACGAAGGCUGGGAUGUUCGCUCGUGCAGAGUCGACAUGCAACCGGCAGGGUUGACUGUCGCAGUCCGUCAUCGCCACCGGCCUCUCCCGAGGUUGUUGACCUCUGGGUGCCACUUCAAUGUCCCCUCUGGGAUAAAGAUUCCAGGCGUCUUGCGGGGACGCCGUGCCACCGUUUGGUUCCGGGCCGGAAAAAUAUCCAGCGGAAAACCACCAGUACCGCGAAGGAGCCCGCGCUGGCAUGGCUCGGAUGUGCCAGAGUGGAAAAUGUUUUUUGUUGUUGUUGUUGUUGUCAUUAUAAUCAGGGGCGGA